AAAGUUAUCAAACACUUCCAUAUCUCAGCUGUCCAUUUCUUGGCUUAACCCAAUCUUCUAAUCAUCAUAGUAGAAAAAUGUUAAAAUAAUUCAAGAGGUUUAGUCAUUUGGAUCAGCUUCUUCUAGCUAGCUGGUUCAUGUGGGGGGUUUGUGCAACAAAGUGCCCAGUUUAUGGGAUGUGCAAAACAUAUUAUAUGAGCUAUUAUGUGUAUAGGGUUUCUAUAUCCAUCCACUACUAGAAAAAAGUCUUUUUACGACACUGAUUCUACGACGGUCGUACGAAGACCGAUGUAGUAAGUUAAGCGGUGGCAUUUUUGUAAACAGUUGUUACUUUUUUAAGGCGGUUUUCUCACAAACGACUUUAAAAAUAUUUUACAACAUCGUUUUUUUAAGACCGUCUUUGAAACCCACUUUCUGUUGCUGACGUGGCACAUUUUAAUUGGGCUAACUGGCAACCCUAAAUCAAUACAAUAUUUUUCUAGCUGUUCACUCUUCCAUUCUCUCGUGACUUUUCAUUUUGCCAUCUCCACGAUUUUCGGCACCUUCUCCACCGCCGCUGCACCCAAAUGCGCCUUCGUCAAUAGCCUUUACCGCUCCAGCUUCAGUUUGUUGAUUGAAGACAACAACUUCCAGCGAAGCAGCUUGAAUACAGCUUAGGAAGGUAAUUGUUUAAGCAAUUCUAGGAAUUUUCACGUGCUAACUUAUGAGGAUCAAGAAGGGGACUGGAUGAUGGUUGGAGAUGUGUCGUGGGAGAUGUUCUUGAACAGUGUGAAGAGGCUGAAGAUCACAAGAGCUGACAGAUGCUAGUUAAUUUAAUAAUAAACUGAUGGAGGUUUCAAGCCUACACUGUCCAAGGUUGAAAUGAACGUAGCAUGGCAACAAGGAAAUCUGAGAAAAUUCUGCCAAGAGAAAGGAAUUCAUGUGAGUGCAUGGUCCCCUUUGGGAGCUAAUGGUGCUUCAUGGGGUUCUCUUGCUGUGAUAGAUAGUCCAGUCCUAAAAGACAUUGCAAUUGCAAUAGGCAAGAGUGUGGCACAGCAUUUAACGCAGAUCCUGAAACCGUUCUAUGAACUAAUCAAGAGUGAAACAACGAUGAUGAGAACUGCUUCUCAGAAAUGGGGCUACAUUCGGAUCAUGGCUGGUACAAUCUUUGGAGGCAUCCUUGGAUUCUAUGUCAUGCACCGCCUUGAAACUAACUACAAGGAAUAAAAUCCAAGAUAGUAAACUAACUCUCAAAGAGCUUGAAACUACGCACAACAACUAUAUGAAAAGACAAGAGGAGUUAGAUAAUGAUAUGAGGAAGUGCAAGGAAGAGUUCAAAGAGUUUGAGAGGAUUGCUUGAUGAGGAGAAGGUCUUAGAAGAAAUCACAGAGAGUUCCAAAGCAAAAUAUGAUGUUGCAAUAUCAACAGCAUGCCAUGGACUUGAUUAUAUUGUGGUGGAAACAACUAAUGUAGCUCAAGCAUGUGUUGAGUUACUUCGUAGAGAGAAUCUUGGUGUCGCUACUUUCAUGAUAUUGGUAUUUUUUUAUUUUUUAUAUUAAUCAACUUGUUUUUGUCUCUAAAUGGCUGUUUAAUAUUUUGAAUGGCAUGAAUUAAAUAUGUUCACUUUUACUUCUGGACCCUUGGAUUUGUAUAACUGUGACUGAGUUCAUGCUCUACGAUAUAUUUGCUAAUUUAAGGACAUGUUGGUAUAAGAGUGUUUUCUGUUUCAA